ACUACUACAUAUGGCCUAUGGUAUCCAAAAGGAAAUGAGUGUCAUUUGGUAGGAUUCUCCGAUUCAGAUUUUGCUGGCUGCAAAUCCGAUAGAAAAAGCACUAGUGGAACGUGUCAUCUAUUCUCAAACUCAUUGAUAAGUUGGCAUAGUAAGAAACAAGUAUCGGUUGCAUUAUCCACUGCUGAGGCAGAAUAUGUAGCUGCUGGAAGCUGCUGUGCACAAAUAUUAUGGCUCAAGCAACAACUUCUUGACUUUGGUAUUAAGCUUGAUCGCAUACCUAUCAUGUGCGACAACACAAGCGCCAUAAACUUGAGUAAAAAUCCUGUCUUACACUCACGUACCAAACAUAUUGAAAUAAGGCAUCACUUUCUACGAGAUCAUGUAGAGAAAGGAGACGUUACUUUUGAACAUGUAGAAAGCAAGAAGCAACUAGCUGACAUCUUCACCAAACCUCUAGCAACGGAGCAAUACUUCAACAUUCGUAGGGAAUUAGGGAUACUCGAUAUCUCUAAUUUGGGCUAAUUACGUUUGUUUUCUCUUAAUAUUAUUUCUUUACUUUAUGUAUAUAUAUAUAUAUAUAUCUUUCUUGCUAACAUUUUUCUUAGCGUAAAGGUAGUUCAUCAUCAAGCCAGGCGUCAUAUUGAAAAAGCGGUAACGUAAUUGUUGUUCACUUCCAAAAAUAUUAUUGAUACUAUAAUAUGCUAUCAAUUAACAUGCUUAUAGUGACUUCAUGCAUAAAAACUGCUCUUGCUCACAUAUGUGUCUCAUGCUAUCAUUAACUACCUUUUAUCUACUAUACUGUACAUGCUAGCAUUGUUAUCUAUGGUUCUCUUGUUACUCUCCUAUUCUCUUGUUUUCUCUUUUUGAUGUUGACAAAGGGGGAGAUAGAUGCUGGAUGUACGGGGGAGCUUUGUUGAGAGAUUGCCUUGUUGAGAGAUAGAUGCUGGAUGUACGGGGGAGCUCUGUUGAGUCUUUAUCACUUACUACCAAAGCUUAGACGAAUGGUUUGCCAUCAUCAAAAAGGGGGAGUAUGUGAAUACAAGAUUACACUCAAAGAUGUUUUUGAUUCAUGGCAAACUCAAAUAAGCAUUCAAACAACAAGACGGAAGCAGAAAACUCAAAGAAAAGCAAGCAUUGAUCACUCAUAGGUCAACCCAUUAUGUUUAUAUGUUUAUAGGUUGACUCAACACAAGCAAAACAAGAAGAAUGCAGAAAAACAGCAGUUAGGUCGACCUACCAUCAACCCAGGUCGACCUAAAAUGGAGAAAAAUUCAUAUACUCCUGCUAGGUCGACCCACACAUCAUUUAGGUCGACCUAAAUUGAUGAAUUUUACAUACCAGCCUGUUAGGUCGACCUACACAUCAACUAGGUCGACCUAAUCUGAGAAAAUGUUCCCAGAACGCAUCAGAAGAGGAUUCUGGUCGACCUACUCCUUCAACAGGUCGACCUAACUGGGAGCAAACUUCAGCAAGCACUGCUAGGUCGACCUAACCCCUACAAGAGGUCGACCCAACUGAUCAAGAAAGUUCAAAAAUCAGUUUUUCUUGGUUCCAACUGGUAUGCAAUCAUAUAUAUUGUGCAAGGGUAAUUAUUCAAUGCAACACCAACGACUGAAAGAUACACAAACGCUUCUCAUCUUCGUUCUUCAUCAUCUCCAACACAAUUACACAUAAUCAUUCUUGCGUUGCGGGUUAGUGAUGAGUUCGAUAACGUCCAUGGAACGGAAUUGAAGAUUCCUAGUGGGUGAAGGUUUGUGGGGUUUGUUGGUGAAUAAAAUCUGCGGGUUUUGUCCUCCACGACGGGUGGUUCUUGGGGGUUUUUAUCAAGAGGCGUUCAUUGAGGAUUCGGCUGAGUGUAACGAUUGAGGAACGGGGAGUUCAAGGAAUCAAGACACUGCAGAAGGGAAUCAAAGUGAAGCUCUUGGAUAACCUUGAUCUUGCUCAAGAUUAAGGGGGAAGAAGAUUCAAAGGAUCGACAUAAGUGGUUUAUCGUUUAUCGCUUUGUUAUCUUCUUUGUAUAUACUACUUUCAACAUUAAUGAAAGAUUACCCAAUUUCAAUUUGGAAUUGGGGGCAGACGUAGUCGUAGCGAGGACGAUCGACGAACUGCCUAAACAAAUAUCGUGUUCUUGUCGCUUUUACUUUUUCAUUUACAUUCUGUUCAUAUUUGGUUAUAAUAGCAAAUUGAUCAACGAUUCGAGUGUUAAUAUUGUGAAUUAAGUUCGUUCAUAAACAUCACAAUCCAUCACACAUUGAAUUACCUUCAAUUUGAUCAUUAUCACCAAGUGUUUGUAUAUUUGUUUCUAUCACUCUUACUGCAUUGCAAACAUUGUCCAUCAUACAAAAAGUUAAUCUGAUUUUCAUAAGAGAAACGUCUUGAUUCUGCAACAUAUACUCUCAUCAUUUACUUCAAGUCUUUGACUGGUUUUUUAAACACAUAUAUAAUCGUUUCGAUAGUGGUUCGGAAUAGACGCGAGUCGAUUCAGAAUUACUUCCGCUGAAAAGUCGUUUUAAAUCCGUAAAACUGUGAACGAUCUAUUCACCCCCCCUCUAGAUCCUAAGGCCAGCGUCUAACAAUAUUCAUUUUCGCAAGAGGUUUGUUCUUCAUUGAAACAAUUUAUAUACCACUCUAUUUUUCACUGAAAUAGUUUAUUGAUCAUUUUAUUCAGGGUUUCUACGUUAUUUUUUCUAUUGAUCAUUCUGUUUCUACUAUUUUCCAUUUGUUUUUACUCAAAUGUUAUUGUUUGAUCCAGGUUAGUCGCUUUAUAGUCAUGGUCGAUUCUACAAACACCUCUCAUAUAACAUUUGCUGCAACCACUAUUAAUACAAAAUGUAAAAGAAAAACUAGAGGUGUCACGAUGUAUACCAAGGUGAAAAAAGACCACAAAAGUGGUGUUCGCUACUCGGUUAGAGUUGAUAUAGAAACCAACAGGGCUUAUGGUGAACAUGUUGAGGAUUUUAUGAGUUACAUUGUGUUACAAGGUAGAAGUAAAGUGACCAUUUUUUUAGAUGAUAGGCACGACGUUGAUGAUGACAUAAAAGACGCCAUAUGGAAAGAUAUUACGGAUAUGUUCAUUGUAAGUGCAAAUGAUACGAACGUGGAAAAGAAAUUGCUUACAUAUUAUGGUAAAUGCUAGAGGGGCUUUAAGACACAGCUCACCCAUGAUUAUAUUAAACAUGCAGAAGAUAAAGAAAUGCCUCCAUACGAGGUGUAUUCAUUUAUUAAUCAAUAUUUUUAAGAUAAAUUUGUAAAGUCUCGCACCAUUACUAACUUCUUGGCAAAGAGCCAAACAGGAAAGGAAAAUCUGUAGAAAUAUCUGUCCACAUAGGUUGUCUCAUGGAGGAUACCAAAGACUUGAAUAUACGAUGAUUGGAAAAAUAAAAAUAAACAAAGGGAGGAAGAUCUGGGAGGUUCUAUAACUCUUUAUUGCAUUUCAUCUCCAUUAUCAUGCUACAAGAAAUAGAAGAGAGCAUGUCAAAGAAAAGACGGUGAGUUCACAUCAUAUGCUACGCGCCAUGUGGUUCAAAAGAUUGAUGAUCUGGUUGAACAAACCAAAGUCGACUUCUUUACUUCAAAAGAUCGUCAUGACAUCAUGGUAGAAGCGAUUGGUACCGAGGAGCAUCAUCGGCGUGUAUGUGAUUUUUGAAGAGGCGUUGGCUUCAAGGUAUUUUUUGGACCAUCUAAAUCAUCUAGAGAGAAAAAACUAUAAGAGAGAGAUUGAAGAGAUAAUUAUCGUUGAGUUGGG